rnacentral:rRNA from 1 species
CAGUAGCCGCGGUAAUACGAGGGGGGCAAGCGUUGUUCGGAAUUAUUGGGCGUAAAGGGUGCGUAGGCGGUUUGAUAAGUCAUCUGUGAAAUCUCUGGGCUCAACCCAGAGUCUGCAGGCGAAACUGUCGGGCUUGAGUAUGGGAGAGGUGAGUGGAAUUUCCGGUGUAGCGGUGAAAUGCGUAGAUAUCGGAAGGAACACCUGUGGCGAAAGCGGCUCACUGGACCAUAACUGACGCUGAUGCACGAAAGCUAGGGGAGCAAACAGGAUUAGAUACCCGAGUAGUCCCUGUCUCUUAUAC